UCCUGAAGGGAUCGAGGUGUUCCGCCUCAAUCAGUUCUCAUUGAAACUCCUUGAAAGAGCCCUGUAAGUGUCCUCUGAUGUGGAGCCAUACCCUGGAAUCUCAUGAAGUCCUCCUUAGGGAAUGCAGGGUGGACCUGAAGGCCAGCAGGAUGAGUCCGGCCAGGAUAUCAGGACUGACAAGCAGAGAUGAAUCAGAGAACAUGGCCCAACCGCC
rnacentral:lncRNA from 1 species